rnacentral:rRNA from 1 species
UCAUAUGCUUGUCKSWWAGAUUAAGCCAUGCAUGUGUCAGUACAGGCCGCUCUAAGGCUAAACCGCGAAUGGCUCAUUAAAUCAGUUAUGGUUCAUUUGAUCUCACUCCCAUUACUUGGAUAACCCUGGUAAUUCUAGAGCUAAUACGUGACAACAACUACUCCGACUGGAAGGGAGGAGUGCUUUUAUUAGAUGAAAACCAAUCGGGCCUCGGUCCGUCAAACACAAACUGUGCUGAUUCUGAAUAACUUUGUGCCGAGAGCACGGUCUCCGCACCGGCUCCGUAUCUUUCGAGUUUCUGCCUUAUCAUGCUGUGGAUUGUAGGCCAUGCGCCUACUGUGGCUGUUACGGGUGACGGAGAAUCAGGGUUCGAUUCCGGAGAGGGAGCCUGAGAAACGGCUACCACAUCCAAGGAAGGCAGCAGGCACGCAAAUUACCCAAUCCCAGCUCUGGGAGGUAGUGACGAAAAAUAACAAUGCGGGACUCUUCCGAGUCUGCGUAAUUGGAAUGAGCACACUUUAAAUCCUUUAGCAACAACCAAUUGGAGGGCAAGUCUGGUGCCAGCAGCCGCGGUAAUUCCAGCUCCMAUAKCGUAUAUUAAAGUUKUUGCGGUUAAAAAGCUCGUAGUUCGAGUUCAGUUCCGGACUGGCUGGGGAGGUCACCGCCCGGUGCUUCCCCGUCAGGCUCCGAACAGCUUUUAUGACUAAAAGCCAAGCCGGUUUCGCCGGGGUGCUCUUCACCGAGUGUCCCGCGCGGCCGGCCAGUUUACCUUGAAUAAAUGAGAGUGCUCAAAGCAGGCUACUCUUAAAAAUAAAGCCCGAAUGUUACCUGCAUGGAAUGAUGGAAGAUGAACUCGGUUCCAUUUUAUUGGCUCUGGGAAUCCGAGUUAAUGAUAAACAGGGACUGUCGGGGGCAUCCGUACUACGACGCGAGAGGUGAAAUUCAGUGACCGUCGUAGGACGAACAACAGCGAAAGCAUUUGCCAAGAAUGUCUUCGUUGAUCAAGAACGAAAGUUAGAGGAUCGAAGGCGAUCAGAUACCGCCCUAGUUCUAACCCUAAACGAUGCUGACUAGCAAUCCGCCGUCGUUAUUCCCAUGACGUGGCGGGACGCCCCCGGGAAACCUCAAGUCUUUGAGUUCCGGGGGUAGUAUGGUUGCAAAACUGAAACUUAAAGGAAUUGACGGAAGGGCACCACCAGGAGUGGAGCCUGCGGCUUAAUUUGACUCAACACGGGAAACCUCACCAGGCCCGGACACCAGAAGGAUUGACAGAUUAAGAGCUCUUUCUCGAUUUGGUGGGUGGUGGUGCAUGGCCGUUCUUAGUUGGUGGAGUGAUUUGUCUGGUUAAU